AACGCUGGCGGUAUGUUUAAGACAUGUAAGACGCACGGAAUCAUUUUGGUAGGAAUACUCGAAUGGUUUAGUGGCGCACGGGUGAGUAACACGUGAAUUACAUGCCCUUCAGUGGGGAAUAGCCCAGGGAAACUUGGAUUAAUACCCCAUGGUCUCGCAAGAGUAAAGGUGGCGUAAGCUGCCGCUGAAGGAUUGGUUCGCGCCCUAUCAGCUUGUUGGUGAGGUAACGGCUCACCAAGGCUACGACGGGUACCUGGUCUGAGAGGACGAUCAGGCACACUGGAACUGAGACACGGUCCAGACACCUACGGGUGGCAGCAGUCGAGAAUAAUUCACAAUGGGGGCAACCCUGAUGGUGCAACGCCGCGUGGAGGAUGACGGUCUUCGGAUUGUAAACUCCUGUCAUCUGGGAGAAAGACCUGGGAGUUAAUAGCUCACAGGGUUGAUAGUACCAGAAGAGGAAGGGACGGCUAACUUCGUGCCAGCAGCCGCGGUAAUACGAAGGUCCCAAGCGUUGUUCGGAAUCACUGGGCGUAAAGGGAGCGUAGGCGGCGCGGUAAGUCAGAUGUGAAAUCCCGGGGCUCAACCCCGGAACUGCAUCCGAUACUGCCGUGCUUGAGCAAUGGAGAGGUAGCUGGAAUUCUCGGUGUAGCAGUGAAAUGCGUAGAUAUCGAGAGGAACACUCGUGGCGAAAGCGAGCUACUGGACAUUUGCUGACGCUGAGGCUCGAAGGCUAGGGGAGCGAAAGGGAUUAGAUACCCCUGUAGUCCUAGCAGUAAACGGUGCACGCUUGGUGUGAGGGGAUUCGACCCCCCUUGUGCCGGAGCUAACGCGUUAAGCGUGCCGCCUGGGAAGUACGGUCGCAAGACUAAAACUCAAAGAAAUUGACGGG
rnacentral:rRNA from 1 species